UAUUUUUCGAUUUAUAUAAAAAUUAAAUAGAUUAAAUUAGAUACGCUUUAAACCUAUAUUUGCGGCCUGUAACCUGUAAGGUUACGGAAUGCAUUUUUAUAAUUUUAUUUAUUAUUACAAAUAUCUUAGCGAUAUUUUACAAAAAAGAGGACUAUUUUAGCAUUUUAAAGAUAACAUUUGCAAUUAGUUAAUAUUCUGACGUAGAACUUAUGACGUAACGUGUGACUCAUUUAUCGCACGUUCCACCGAUUCGAAUUCGUUCGAUUUCGUAUUGCCGACGCCAUCUUGAAAUAGAAAGUUUUAUGGAAAUUGCGAGUUAUUUUUCAAUCCAUUUCGAGAUUUUUCGUAAAUGUUUAAUUACAAAAACCCGAAUAACGCAGGCAAUAAAGAAGUAUCAUUCUCAAAUUUUAUAAUCCACUUUCCAAAGAAACAUGGAAUCAUUUUAAAAACUUCUUUGCUCAAAAAAUUAACAAAGGAAAGAUUUAACUGAUUGUGAGCACUUAAAGCCAGGAGUCGUGUGACAUCAUUUAGGCUUCUGACAUACCAAAGAGCAGCUAUGUGACAUGUAUAGGGCCUAUAUAAAAAUUACUUUGUGGAUAAUCAACUCAAUGGUUAUCUGCUCCACACACCUUCCUUUAGAAAAUGUUGAUAUUGAACUUUGUCACUGCAAUCUUUUAACAAACAUUUCCAUUAUGACAAAGAGCAUGCAACAUUUUCUUCUAUAAAUGGUCAGUGAACUACUUUACUUUACUUUUAUAUUCCCGGGACCAUUUUAAUUUUAAAUUUUGUAAAAAUUGGCAUUCAGAGUUUGAUUUGUCUUGAUGUUCAUUUUGGAGUAAUUAGCCCUAUGUUAAUUAAGCACAAUAAAAUUAGGUUCAAAUUUUCUUUAUCAUAUUUAAUGUAAUAGAGAUAACUGUAAAAACAGAUUAUAAAGUAUGAAUUAUUGUAAAAUUUAUAUUUUAAAUAAAUAAAGAUUCAUUC